rnacentral:lncRNA from 1 species
AAAAAUGCAUUUUAAAGGGUUUAAUAGUCACAAGGAUGUUAAGGUGAGCAAUGAGUGGCUUUCAACAGGGCUAAAGAGAGUUCAAGGCAAUUUUGUUUCUGGUCUCUAACAUUUGAACUCUCUAUAGUCAUGCAGGUCAGUCAUUCAUUUGAAACACCUAAUACAGGUGUGCAUUUUUCCCCCUGAGAACUUCGCUUCACACUCCAGAGCUAUAUGGGUUCUACAUGUAGCUUUCUGCCUGGCUUUCCCUAGUGAAUUGUGAUGUCCUCAGACUCUCCAGGGUACAUGAAAAUGUUAUUUUUAGCACUUGCUAAAGCAUUUGACUCCUGGGUUAACUCAGGCAGGAGGGAUAUAAUAAGUAAGAUGUAAAUUACCCAUAGCAUCUCAGCUAAUUGAAUUUUUAAUUGGACAAAGCCCCUCUCACCGUCAAACUUCCCUGAAUGCUUUGCCGUAUGAACCCAUCCGGUAAGUUUGGAUUCUGAUGCAAUCUUGUGUUCUGUUAGUAUGUGAAUUUAAGAAGGAACGGCAGAUGGAGGCAAGCUAGUUAAAUGGAGACUCUAAUUAGUUGUGGAGAAGGGGAACAAUUCAGAGAUGCCGCUGUCCCACACCCACAGCCAGUUCCUUCUCUGCCAUCUUCCUUUGACUAAAUUAUUUUUUAAAGACCAAGAC